UCCUUGCGAUGUCUGAUCAACUAGACGAGAAACCAGCUCUCGUCGGCGCUUCCCUCGGCGGCCUGGCGGGCUUGAUAGCCGAAGGUGAACUUCGCUCAGGAUCCUUCACUUCGCUUACGCUUGUAGAUAUUACACCAAAUAUGGAGCCGGUCGGCGUUGCGCACGUCCUGGAUUUCAUGAGGGCACAUUUGGCGGACGGCUUUGCUUCGCCCGAUGAAGCCGCCGAGGCGAUCGCCAACUAUUUGCCAAAUCGACGGCGACGGAAAGGCUCGGAGAGNNNGAUGCGAUGACGGACGUCUUCGCUGGCACUGGGAUCCGCGCUUCAUAACUUCUGUGACAAAUGGCAAAGUGGGCCAGUCCGAAAACCGACUGACCGACGCUGCCAAAAACCUU
rnacentral:misc_RNA from 1 species